rnacentral:tRNA from 1 species
AAAUAAGAAGCGAUUUAUUGCAAUUAGUUUCGACCUAAUCUUAGAUAAUUAUUAUCCUUAUUUA